AAGAGGAGGAGGGGUCGGGAGAGGCAGCCUGGCCGCCGGGUGCCUCCUGCAUCCCAGGGCUGCACCUCUCCCGUCCGGCGCCGCUGGUGAACUUUGCGGCAUACUGCCAUCAUAGGAUUUGCAAGUCUGCCUCUGGAGGAUAUUCUUCUAGCAAUAGCAUCUGGGCUUUAUGGACUGAUUACAGCCCAUGGGAGAGCACAUACCAGGGCAAGGGGAAACCGUGAGAAGGAAGGAGUUGGAGAAAGGAUUUACCUAUACCUAUUUCUACCCCUACCCUAGCAUGCUGCUCAGGGGAAGUAGUAGAAGAGCCUGAAGUGAAGGUGUGAAAUUAAGCUUGGGAGAGCAGGGAAGAAAUGCGUUGGUUUGAUGUUUGUCUGUCUUUCACAAUACCUGAAUCUAUUUGAAAAGACAACAAAUGAAAUUAAUUUUCCCUGGUACUUGGUAAAAAAAUCUCCUUGCCUUUACCUCAAUGCAUAAGGUUUUUCAUCUUGUUUUCUGCCUGUCUUACUAAAGAAUCAGAGUGAAUGGCUGGGUUGGUGUUUGAAUGUUAGCCAAUGCUAACCCACCAAAAUAAUAAAAGUAUUCUGCUGAAAUAAUCUUACUAGACAGGCUUAAACUUCUGCAGAAUCAGAUAUCAUUCAAAUAAGAACUAUUCAAAACAACA